AAUACGUAGGGUGCGAGGCGUUGUCCGGAAUUUAUUGGGCGUAAAGGGCUCGUAGGUGGUGAUCGCGUCCGAAGUGUAUCCUCGGGCCUACCCUGAGCGUGCUUUCCGAUACGGGUUGACUUGAGGAAGGUAGGGGAGAAUGGAAUUCCCUGGUGGAGCGGUGGAAUGCGCAGAUAUCAGGAGGAACACCAGUGGCGAAGGCGGUUCUCUGGGCCUUUCCUGACGCUGAGGAGCGAAAGCGUGGGGAGCGAACAGGCUUAGAUACCCUGGUAGUCCACGCUGUAAACGGUGGGUACUAGGUGUGGGGUCCAUUCCACGGGUUCCGUGCCGUAGCUAACGCUUUAAGUACCCCGCCUGGGGAGUACGGCCGCAAGGCUAAAACUCAAAGGAAUUGACGGGGCCCCGCACAAGCGGCGGAGCAUGCGGAUUAAUUCGAUGCAACGCGUAGAACCUUACCUGGGUUUGACAUGGAUCGGGAGUGCUCAGAGAUGGGUGUGCCUCUUUUGGGGUCGGUUCACAGGUGGUGCAUGGCUGUCGUCAGCUCGUGUCGUGAGAUGUUGGGUUAAGUCCCGCAACGAGCGCAACCCUUGUUCACUGUUGCCAGCACGUUAUGGUGGGGACUCAGUGGAGACCGCCGGGGUCAACUCGGAGGAAGGUGGGGAUGACGUCAAGUCAUCAUGCCCCUUAUGUCCAGGGCUUCACGCAUGCUACAAUGGCUGGUACAGAGAGUGGCGAGCCUGUGAGGGUGAGCGUAUCUCGGAAAGCCGGUCUCAGUUCGGAUUGGGGUCUGCAACUCGACCUCAUGAAGUCGGAGUCGCUAGUAAUCGCAGAUCAGCAACGCUGCGGUGAAUACGUUCCCGGGGCUUGCACACACCGCCCGUC
rnacentral:rRNA from 1 species